UCUCUGUUAGUAUAUCGGUUAGUACACGCGCCUGUCACUGACUGCGUACGUCCAGAAGGUGCGCGCGAAAGCGGGGUUCGACUCCCCGACAGAGAG